AACGAACGCUGGCGGCAUGCCUAACACAUGCAAGUCGAACGAGACCUUCGGGCCUAGUGGCGCACGGGUGCGUAACGCGUGGGAACCUGCCCUUAGGUUCGGAAUAACUCCCCGAAAGGGGUGCUAAUACCGGAUAAUGUCUUCGGACCAAAGAUUUAUCGCCUUUGGAUGGGCCCGCGUUGGAUUAGCUAGUUGGUAGGGUAAAAGCCUACCAAGGCUACGAUCCAUAGAUGGUCUGAGAGGAUGAUCAGCCACACUGGGACUGGGACACGGCCCAGACUCUUACGGGAGGCGGCAGUGGGGAAUAUUGGACAAUGGGCGAAGGCCUGAUCCAGCAAUGCCGCGUGAGUGAUGAAGGCCUUAGGGUUGUAAAGCUCUUUUACCCGGGAUGAUAAUGACGGUACCGGGAGAAUAAGCUCCGGCUAACUCCGUG
rnacentral:rRNA from 1 species